UGUAAAAUUUACGAUCAUCUUUUGCAUUAAUAAUAAAAUUUUAUCGGAGUAAUUUUUUUUUUAAUAGGCGAACCUUAAACUAGUCUCUUCUUUACUGUCGGCUGGUUAAAAUGAAACGCAUCGUGAUUCAUAAUCCUAACACAUAGAGGAAGCAACUGUACAGUUUUAGUAUUCAAAUAAUACUCGGAAAAUAUUUUACUCAUAUGAUUUCAGCGAUUUCACGUAUCAUAAUAGUAUACUCUUCACUCGCUUGGAAAAGGGACUCAUUACCUGUGCCGUAACCGACAUGCAUUCAUAGAAAUGUUCAUUAAAAUAAUAAAAACCUGAACUUCUUAUCAGAACAAAUGUGGUACCAAUUUCGCAACGCCCGCGCCUAUAAAAAUAAUGAUCAGAUAUCGGGCGACUAUCGAUCAGAGGGACAUUUAAAUUUUACGCGCCACAGCAAACAAUGAGAAGCCACAGAUCUGCGAUGUUAACGACUAUAAAAAAUGUUUUGUCGAAAGCAAGACUUAAAUGAUGAUAUCUCGCGCCGGCGCAACACAUUAUUUGCGUUCUAUAUACAAGAUAUUUAUUUUUCUCAGCUUGUUCUCUAUUUUCAAUUCUUUUCUGUUAAAUUCAUUGUUAGAGAUAUGCAGUAUAAAGUCAAAAUUUUAUCUGAAUCUAUUAUUUUAGCCUCUCCUCACCCUUCUUCGACAAAUGCAUACGAUAAAUUGAUUCAUUUUUUUAAAUCUAAUCUCCUAAAAGUUGUAAUGUAUCUUGAUUAAAACUUAAUUAGAAAAUUAUUCGGAAGCAA